CCAGGAUGGGGUUUUCCACACCAGCUUCUUACAAGGAAACAAAUAUUGGGUGGGUUCAGCCUCCUUGUCCAGCAUCUGGCAUCUGGUAGGAUCCCUUCCCGACCCAUCCCACCCUAAAUAAUGAGGAGUCAAUUAAUAAAGGUGAGGAAGCUGUUGGAGAAAAUCUCUAACCCUUCUACUACUAGGAUGGAUAGAUGCCUGCAGGUGAGACUCGU